rnacentral:rRNA from 1 species
UACAGGGGGGGCAAGCGUUGUUCGGAAUUACUGGGCGUAAAGGGCGCGUAGGCGGCCUUCUAAGUCGAACGUGAAAUCCCUGGGCUCAACCCAGGAACUGCGUCCGAUACUGGAAGGCUUGAAUCCGGGAGAGGGAUGCGGAAUUCCAGGUGUAGCGGUGAAAUGCGUAGAUAUCUGGAGGAACACCGGUGGCGAAGGCGGCAUCCUGGACCGGUAUUGACGCUGAGGCGCGAAAGCCAGGGGAGCAAACGGG